AUUGAACGCUGGCGGCAGGCCUAACACAUGCAAGUCGAGCGGGGUUUUCGGACCUAGCGGCGGACGGGUGAGCAAUGCGUAGGAAGCUACCCGAUAGAGGGGGAUACCAGUUGGAAACGACUGUUAAUACCGCAUAAUGUCUACGGACCAAAGUGUGGGACCUUCGGGCCACAUGCUAUCGGAUGCGCCUACGUGGGAUUAGCUAGUUGGUGGGGUAAUGGCUCACCAAGGCGACGAUCCCUAGCUGGUUCGAGAGGAUGAUCAGCCACACUGGAACUGAGAAACGGUCCAGACUCCUACGGGAGGCAGCAGUGGGGAAUAUUGGACAAUGGGCGCAAGCCUGAUCCAGCCAUGCCGCGUGUGUGAAGAAGGCCUUCGGGUUGUAAAGCACUUUCAGUAGGGAGGAAGAGUUGAGUGUUAAUAGUACUCAGCUUUGACGUUACCUACAGAAGAAGCACCGGCUAACUCUGUGCCAGCAGCCGCCGUAACAC
rnacentral:rRNA from 1 species